UCACAGUUUGAUAUGAUGGACUACAAGACAGGACUGCUGUUUUUAACUCUCUGCUGGGCAGGUGUUGAUGGUCAGACUCUGACUGAGUCUGAACCAGUGGUUAAAAGGCCUGGAGAAUCCCACACACUGACCUGUACAGCCUCUGGAUUCACAUUCAGUGACUACUGGAUGGCCUGGGUCAGACAGGCACCUGGAAAAGCACUGGAGUGGGUUGCAAGCCAUUAUGACAGCGCUAACAUCCGCUACUCUCAGUCAGUCCAAGGACGAUUCACCAUCUCCAGAGACAACAGCAAACAGCAGGUGUAUCUGCAGAUGAACAGUCUGAAGACUGAAGAUUCUGCUGUUUAUUAUUGUACUCGAGAGCCAGAGUGACUGAAGUUGUUUGAGCAGCUGUACCAAAUCCUGCAGUCAUUAUUCUACUUAAUUUAUUUUGCAUGGCAAUUGUAGUAUAACGAGGAUUUUACUAAUGCUACCAAGAAGUUCAUAUUGCAGAUGUGUGGGAAGCUUCUUUACAGUACUUUCAGCCAUGGUCUCCUCCAGUUGCAUCAUGUAAACGAUCUCAUUAUCAGAGGUACCCACAGUUCAGACAGUGUGGUGAUUAGAUGGUGGUGAGUUAACAAGCAGUUGUUCAUAUGUGUGGAGAUCAUUUCAG